rnacentral:rRNA from 1 species
GAACGAGAAAGUGGAGCAAUCCAUGAGUAAAGUGGCGACCGGGUGAGUAACACGUGACUAACCUGCCUUCGAGUGGGGGAUAACCUCGGGAAACCGGGGCUAAUACCGCAUAAUGCCUUCGGGUUAAAGGAGCAAUUCGCUUGAAGAGGGGGUCGCGGCUGAUUAGCUAGUUGGCGGGGUAACGGCCCACCAAGGCGAUGAUCGGUAGCCGGCCUGAGAGGGCGCACGGCCACACUGGGACUGAGACACGGCCCAGACUCCUACGGGAGGCAGCAGUGGGGAAUAUUGGACAAUGGGCGCAAGCCUGAUCCAGCAAUGCCGCGUGAGUGAUGAAGGCCUUAGGGUUGUAAAGCUCUUUCGGCGGGGACGAUGAUGACGGUACCCGCAGAAGAAGCCCCGGCUAACUUCGUG